rnacentral:tRNA from 3 species
GAGCCCAUAGCUCAGUUGGAUAGAGUAACUGCCUCCUAAGCAGUCGGUCGUGGGUUCGACUCCCACUGGGCUCA